GACGAACGCUAGCGGGAUGCCUUACACAUGCAAGUCGAACGGAGUGGCGAACGGGUGAGUAAUGUAUCGGAACGUGCCCAGUAGCGGGGGAUAACUACGCGAAAGCGUAGCUGAUACCGCAUACUAUUGGAGCGGCCGAUUCCGGAUUAGCUCGUUGGUGGGGUAACGGCUGACCAGGGCGACGAUCCGUAGCCGGUUUGAGAGGACGACCCGCCACACUGGGACUGAGACACGGCCCAGACUCCUACGGGAGGCAGCAGUGGGGAAUUUUGGACAAUGGGGGAAACCCUGAUCCAGCCAGCCCGCGUGUGCGAUGAAGGCCUUCGGGUGGUAAAGCACGUUUGGCAGGAAAGCGGUACCUGCAGAAUAAGCACCGGCUAACUACGUGCCAGCAGCCGCGGUAAUAC
rnacentral:rRNA from 1 species